AACGAACGCUGGCGGCAUGCCUAACACAUGCAAGUCGAACGAGACCUUCGGGUCUAGUGGCGCACGGGUGCGUAACGCGUGGGAAUCUGCCCUUUGCUUCGGAAUAACAGUUAGAAAUGACUGCUAAUACCGGAUGAUGUCUUCGGACCAAAGAUUUAUCGGCAAAGGAUGAGCCCGCGUAGGAUUAGGUAGUUGGUGGGGUAAAGGCCUACCAAGCCGACGAUCCUUAGCUGGUCUGAGAGGAUGAUCAGCCACACUGGGACUGAGACACGGCCCAGACUCCUACGGGAGGCAGCAGUGGGGAAUAUUGGACAAUGGGCGCAAGCCUGAUCCAGCAAUGCCGCGUGAGUGAUGAAGGCCUUCGGGUCGUAAAGCUCUUUUACCAGGGAUGAUAAUGACAGUACCUGGAGAAUAAGCUCCGGCUAACUCCGUGCCAGCAGCCGCGG
rnacentral:rRNA from 1 species